rnacentral:rRNA from 1 species
GAUGAACGCUGGCGGCGUGCCUAAUGCAUGCAAGUCGAGCGAACGGACGAGAAGCUUGCUUCUCUGAUGUUAGCGGCGGACGGGUGAGUAACACGUGGAUAACCUACCUAUAAGACUGGGAUAACUUCGGGAAACCGGAGCUAAUACCGGAUAAUAUUUUGAACCGCAUGGUUCAAAAGUGAAAGACGGUCUUGCUGUCACUUAUAGAUGGAUCCGCGCUGCAUUAGCUAGUUGGUAAGGUAACGGCUUACCAAGGCAACGAUGCAUAGCCGACCUGAGAGGGUGAUCGGCCACACUGGAACUGAGACACGGUCCAGACUCCUACGGGAGGCAGCAGUAGGGAAUCUUACGCAAUGGGCGAAAGCCUGACGGAGCAACGCCGCGUGAGUGAUGAAGGUCUUCGGAUCGUAAAGCUCUGUUAUUAGGGAAGAACAUAUGCGUAAGUAACUGUGCACAUCUUGACGGUACCUAAUCAGAAAGCCACGGCUAACUACGUG